AUUGAACGCUGGCGGCAGGCCUAACACAUGCAAGUCGAGCGGCAGCGGAAAGUAGCUUGCUACUUUGCCGGCGAGCGGCGGACGGGUGAGUAAUGUCUGGGAAACUGCCUGAUGGAGAGGGAUAACUACUGGAAACGGUAGCUAAUACCGCAUAACGUCGCAAGACCAAAGAGGGGGACCUUCGGGCCUCUUGCCAUCAGAUGUGCCCAGAUGGGAUUAGCUAGUAGGUGGGGUAACGGCUCACCUAGGCGACGAUCCCUAGCUGGUCUGAGAGGAUGACCAGCCACACUGGAACUGAGACACGGUCCAGACUCCUACGGGAGGCAGCAGUGGGGAAUAUUGCACAAUGGGCGCAAGCCUGAUGCAGCCAUGCCGCGUGUAUGAAGAAGGCCUUCGGGUUGUAAAGUACUUUCAGCGGGGAGGAAGGAGUUGAGGUUAAUAACCUCAGCGAUUGACGUUACCCGCAGUAGAAGCACCGGCUAACUCCGUGCCAGCAGCAGCCGCGG
rnacentral:rRNA from 1 species